rnacentral:rRNA from 1 species
GAUGAACGCUGGCGGCGCGCCUAACACAUGCAAGUCGAACGAUUAAAGCACCUUCGGGUGUGUAUAAAGUGGCGAACGGCUGAGUAACACGUGGGCAACCUGCCCCUUUCAUUGGGAUAGCCACGGGAAACCGUGGAUAAUACCGAAUACUUCGAGACUUCCGCAUGGAAUACUCGAGUAAGCACCGGCGGAGACGGAUGGGAGCGCGGCCUGCGAGUUUGUUGGUGGGGUAACGGCGUAGCAAGGCAACGAUGGGUAGCUGGAUUGAGAGACCGACCAGGCAGAUUGGGACUGAGACACGGCCAAGACGGCUACGGGAGGCAGCAGUGGGGGAUCGUGCACGAUGGGCGAAAGCCUGAUGGAGCGACGCCGGGUGCGAGAUGAAGGCCUUCGGGUUGGAAACCGGGUCCAGCAGGGACGAGGAGCAAGUGACGGUACCUGCAGAAGAAGCCCCGGCUAACUACGUG